UACGUAGGGUGCAAGCGUUGUCCGGAAUUAUUGGGCGUAAAGAGCUCGUAGGCGGUCUGUCGCGUCUGCUGUGAAAACUCAGGGCUUAACCCUGAGCUUGCAGUGGGUACGGGCAGACUAGAGUGCGGUAGGGGAGACUGGAAUUCCUGGUGUAGCGGUGAAAUGCGCAGAUAUCAGGAGGAAUACCCAUAGCGAAGGCAGCUCGCUGGGACGUUACUGACGCUGAGGCGCGAAAGCGUGGGGAGCGAACAGG
rnacentral:rRNA from 1 species